rnacentral:tRNA from 1 species
GGAGAGAUGCCGGAGUGGUCGAUCGGGGCGGUCUCGAAAACCGUUGACCCUCUUUGGGGGUCCCAGGGUUCGAAUCCCUGUCUCUCCG